rnacentral:rRNA from 1 species
UGGCUCAGGAUGAACGCUAGCUACAGGCUUAACACAUGCAAGUCGAGGGGCAGCAUGGUCUUAGCUUGCUAAGGCCGAUGGCGACCGGCGCACGGGUGAGUAACACGUAUCCAACCUGCCGUCUACUCUUGGACAGCCUUCUGAAAGGAAGAUUAAUACAAGAUGGCAUCAUGAGUCCGCAUGUUCACAUGAUUAAAGGUAUUCCGGUAGACGAUGGGGAUGCGUUCCAUUAGAUAGUAGGCGGGGUAACGGCCCACCUAGUCUUCGAUGGAUAGGGGUUCUGAGAGGAAGGUCCCCCACAUUGGAACUGAGACACGGUCCAAACUCCUACGGGAGGCAGCAGUGAGGAAUAUUGGUCAAUGGGCGAGAGCCUGAACCAGCCAAGUAGCGUGAAGGAUGACUGCCCUAUGGGUUGUAAACUUCUUUUAUAAAGGAAUAAAGUCGGGUAUGGAUACCCGUUUGCAUGUACUUUAUGAAUAAGGAUCGGCUAACUCCGUGCCAGCAGCCGCGGUAAUACGGAGGAUCCGAGCGUUAUCCGGAUUUAUUGGGUUUAAAGGGAGCGUAGAUGGAUGUUUAAGUCAGUUGUGAAAGUUUGCGGCUCAACCGUAAAAUUGCAGUUGAUACUGGAUAUCUUGAGUGCAGUUGAGGCAGGCGGAAUUCGUGGUGUAGCGGCGAAAUGCUUAGAUAUCACGAAGAACUCCGAUUGCGAAGGCAGCCUGCUAAGCUGCAACUGACAUUGAGGCUCGAAAGUGUGGGUAUCAAACAGGAUUAGAUACCCUGGUAGUCCACACGGUAAACGAUGAAUACUCGCUGUUUGCGAUAUACUGCAAGCGGCCAAGCGAAAGCGUUAAGUAUUCCACCUGGGGAGUACGCCGGCAACGGUGAAACUCAAAGGAAUUGACGGGGGCCCGCACAAGCGGAGGAACAUGUGGUUUAAUUCGAUGAUACGCGAGGAACCUUACCCGGGCUUAAAUUGCAGAUGAAUUACGGUGAAAGCCGUAAGCCGCAAGGCAUCUGUGAAGGUGCUGCAUGGUUGUCGUCAGCUCGUGCCGUGAGGUGUCGGCUUAAGUGCCAUAACGAGCGCAACCCUUGUUGUCAGUUACUAACAGGUUCCGCUGAGGACUCUGACAAGACUGCCAUCGUAAGAUGUGAGGAAGGUGGGGAUGACGUCAAAUCAGCACGGCCCUUACGUCCGGGGCUACACACGUGUUACAAUGGGGGGUACAGAGGGCCGCUACCACGCGAGUGGAUGCCAAUCCCAAAAACCUCUCUCAGUUCGGACUGGAGUCUGCAACCCGACUCCACGAAGCUGGAUUCGCUAGUAAUCGCGCAUCAGCCACGGCGCGGUGAAUACGUUCCCGGGCCUUGUACACACCGCCCGUCAAGCCAUGGGAGCCGGGGGUACAAGAAGUGCGUAACCGCGAGGAG